CUGAGUCGUCGACACGAGUUGUUGCUGGUCCCCAAACAGGGGACACGUGCACGCUCUGUUUACACAUCCACUCACACCUGUGCACCCUCUGUAGUUCUAUGGUCUGGGGGGCCCUGCCUCCCUUCUGUGGUUCUGCAUCUUUACACACACACUGUAAUAAAGUCUUAUGGAAUGUACACCGCGUUUAACGCAAUACAAUA
rnacentral:misc_RNA from 1 species